rnacentral:ncRNA from 1 species
CGGUGCCGCAAGGCCCAACAGGGAAUCCGGUGGAAGUCCGGAACAAUACCCGUUGCUGUAUGUCCGUAUCAAAGGCCUGUGCAAUAUGCCACUGCUCAAUGCGGGAAGGCGCACAGGAGAGGACGAGUCAGAAGACCUGCCGCUGCCG